rnacentral:rRNA from 1 species
GACGUAGGAUGCAAGCGUUGUCCGGAUUUAUUGGGCGUAAAGAGUUCGUAGGCGGUUCGUUAAGUCUGAUGUUAAAGACUGGGGCUCAGCCCCGGGAGUGCAUUGGAUACUGGCGGACUGGAGUGUGGUAGAGGCUAGUGGAAUUCCCAGUGUAGCGGUGAAAUGCGUAGAUAUUGGGAAGAACACCAGUGGCGUAGGCGACUAACUGGGCCAU